rnacentral:rRNA from 1 species
AGCGUAGACGGACUGGCAAGUCUGAUGUGAAAGGCGGGGGCUCAACCCCUGGACUGCAUUGGAAACUGUUAGUCUUGAGUGCCGGAGAGGUAAGCGGAAUUCCUAGUGUAGCGGUGAAAUGCGUAGAUAUUAGGAGGAACACCAGUGGCGAAGGCGGCUUACUGGACGGUAACUGACGUUGAGGCUCGAAAGCGCGGGGAGCAACA